rnacentral:misc_RNA from 1 species
AAGAAACUUGUUCUGCAAGAAAGUAAAUUCUGAAUUAAUUUAAGAAACUAUAAGUAAUUAAAGAAACUAAUCCAGUAAGAUAAGCAAAUAAAAUCAGAGAUUCUUGAUUGAUGUUUCAUAAUUAUAAAAAUAUAAACGGAAUUAUAUAUUUGUCAUCCCUUCUACCAAGCUGCGAAAAUCCAUGAAAAAAUAUGGAAACAAAUUAAAGAGCGAUAACUGCUUCAAAUUGGCAAGCAUAGUACAACAUUUACGCUUUGUUCUUUUGUUCAGCGUUCACAAGAUCACUAUACUUGUUUACAGAAAUUUCGGUUUCCUCGUUCUUCUUCCAUUUCUUCCUCUGGAAGGCCAAGAUAACGGAAACAAAUCCCAUUGAAACAGUAACGCGAACACAAGCAUAGAGAUAAAAGAUUUCACAUUCAACUCCAAAAGAAUGGAAGAGAAAAAGAAAACAGAUAAUUACUUAAAGUAUACGUAAAGAUUCAGGGAGAA